UGAGGUUAAUAACCUCAUCGAUUGACGUUACCCGCAGAAGAAGCACCGGCUAACUCCGUGCCAGCAGCCGCGGUAAUACGGAGGGUGCAAGCGUUAAUCGGAAUUACUGGGCGUAAAGCGCACGCAGGCGGUCUGUCAAGUCGGAUGUGAAAUCCCCGGGCUUAACCUGGGAACUGCAUUCGAAACUGGCAGGCUAGAGUCUUGUAGAGGGGGGUAGAAUUCCAGGUGUAGCGGUGAAAUGCGUAGAGAUCUGGAGGAAUACCGGUGGCGAAGGCGGCCCCCUGGACAAAGACUGACGCUCAGGUGCGAAAGCGUGGGGAGCAAA
rnacentral:rRNA from 1 species